UGAACGCUGGCGGCGUGCUUAACACAUGCAAGUCGCACGAGAAAUCUUUAGCUUGCUAAAGAGAGUAAAGUGGCGCACGGGUGAGUAACGCGUGGGUAAUCUUCCCUUAAAUUUGGGAUAACACUUCGAAAGGGGUGCUAAUACCGGAUAAUAUGAAUAUAACUGUGGUUAUAUUUAUCAAAGGUGGCCUCUCCAUGGAAGCUGCUGUUUGAGGAUGAGCCCGCGUACCAUUAGCUAGUUGGUAGGGUAAAGGCCUACCAAGGCUACGAUGGUUAGCUGGUCUGAGAGGAUGAUCAGCCACACUGGAACUGACACACGGUCCAGACUCCUACGGGAGGCAGCAGUGAGGAAUUUUGCGCAAUGGGGGAAACCCUGACGCAGCAACGCCGCGUGAGUGAUGAAGGCCUUCGGGUCGUAAAGCUCUGUCAAGUGGGAAGAACCUGAUACAUAAUAAUACUAUGUAUCACUGACGGUACCACUGAAGGAAGCACCGGCUAACUCC
rnacentral:rRNA from 1 species